GGUUAAGUUAGAAAGGGCGCACGGUGGAUGCCUUGACACUAGGAGUCGAUGAAGGACGGGACUAACGCCGAUAUGCUUCGGGGAGCUGUAAGUAAGCUUUGAUCCGAAGAUUUCCGAAUGGGGAAACCCACCAUACGUAAUGGUAUGGUAUCCUUAUCUGAAUACAUAGGGUAAGGAAGACAGACCCAGGGAACUGAAACAUCUAAGUACCUGGAGGAAGAGAAAGCAAAUGCGAUUUCCUGAGUAGCGGCGAGCGAAACGGAACAUAGCCCAAACCAAGAGGCUUGCCUCUUGGGGUUGUAGGACAUUCUAUACGGAGUUACAAAGGAACGAGGUAGACGAAGCGACCUGGAAAGGUCCGUCGUAGAGGGUAACAACCCCGUAGUCGAAACUUCGUUCUCUCUUGAAUGUAUCCUGAGUACGGCGGAACACGUGAAAUUCCGUCGGAAUCUGGGAGGACCAUCUCCCAAGGCUAAAUACUCCCUAGUGAUCGAUAGUGAACCAGUACCGUGAGGGAAAGGGUCGA
rnacentral:rRNA from 1 species